AGAGUUUGAUCCUGGCUCAGGAUGAACGCUGGCGGCGUGCCUAAUACAUGCAAGUCGAGCGAACAGAUAAGGAGCUUGCUCCUUUGACGUUAGCGGCGGACGGGUGAGUAACACGUGGGUAACCUACCUAUAAGACUGGAAUAACUCCGGGAAACCGGGGCUAAUGCCGGAUAAUAUUUAGAACCGCAUGGUUCUAAAGUGAAAGAUGGUUUUGCUAUCACUUAUAGAUGGACCCGCGCCGUAUUAGCUAGUUGGUGGGGUAAUGGCUUACCAAGGCAACGAUACGUAGCCGACCUGAGAGGGUGAUCGGCCACACUGGAACUGAGACACGGUCCAGACUCCUACGGGAGGCAGCAGUAGGGAAUCUUCCGCAAUGGGCGAAAGCCUGACGGAGCAACGCCGCGUGAGUGAUGAAGGUCUUCGGAUCGUAAAACUCUGUUAUUAGGGAAGAACAAAUGUGUAAGUAACUGUGCACGUCUUGACGGUACCUAAUUAGAAAGCCACGGCUAACUACGUG
rnacentral:rRNA from 1 species